GUCAGCUGGCCGGUCGGUCAGCGCAUCCGUUCAUCUUUUCCACCGCUCAUUCACCGGUCACUGACUCCUCCAGCACUCACCGAGCCUCCUGUGUGCCCGGCUGCUGGUUUAGGAGGUGGACUUGGCGCUGAUGGGCUCCUUACUGCCACUUCUCAGGCGGCCAAAGCGAGCUUUUAGGUCUCAGCCAUCCGUCCUGGCUUUCCAGUCUGGGUGUGAUCCUAUCAGACACUCCCGGAACACCUUCCACUUUCCCCUUCGUAGUUUUCAUCACAAUUAAGUUAGGUAAUUAAGUGUGCUUUCUGUUUAACUUGCGCCUCUCGCUAUUUUUAAGUUAUGUGAUGGCAAAGACACUGUCUUGAUACCUCUUUGCUCAGGGCACAGAUAGGCAUUCAAUAAAUAUUUCUACUUUUAUACUUAAUUGAUUUGUGGUACUAGGGAUCGAAUCCAGGCAGGGCCUCAUGCAUUUCAAGCAAGUACUCUACCACUAAGCCACAUCCCCAGCCCCUUGAUAAAUAUUUUAAACAAGUAUGUGGGAAAAUGCUGGCCCUUUUCUUAAGGGAGUUUUGAUUUGGUGGGAGAAUGCAUUUAUGAAACAAUAUUUCGUCAGAGUAGGCAUCCAAGAGGAUGUACCCUGGUAUCAGAUGAGUUGGUUUCAAAACAAUCAGACCAUAUCACUUAGAAGCCAUAUAGCCUAGGAUAAAUUAUUUCAUAUGUUCUGUUGCUCUUCAAACAGUUGAAUGUACACCAUAGAAUGCUGUGAAGAUGAAAUGAAUUAAGACACUUAAAAGGUAGAUAAUGCUGGAAUCUAAUAAAGUUUCAAUUGGUGUUUUCUGUUACAAUUAAGUGAUCAAAUAGAUUCAUUGUAAUGCAUUACAUUAGAAAGCAGAUACAUUGUAAUAACCGAACGCCUCAGCAAGCAGGAUUGCCUGGAUAUACUCUGACCAGGGAGGGAAAUGCCUUCUUCCAGAGGAAGGGGCUAUAGGCAAGCUCAGUAUUCCCACCUCCCCAAGGCUUCACCCACCCACCAAACACCACACACACACACACACACACACACACACACCAGGUACUAGAAAGCUGGUUUGCUAGACAGCUACAUAAAUACCUAAAUCCAGAAUUCUGAUGAGAAACAGUUGGUUUCUACCCCCACUGACAAGACUGCUUUCUCAAAUUUGCACUAUAAGAAGGUAGCAGAAGCUCUCCCCUGAAACACUAGAAUACCUUUUUCCAAACUUUCUCUUGGUGGGAUGAUGGGAGAAUCAGUGGACCUAUACUUUCUUUUACCAACUGCUGGCUGGCAAAUUUUCCCCAAUAAAGUCUAUUCUGUAACCCAUACUUUGUGAUGUGGAAUUUACCCUUAUCUAUGAUGUCUUGGGUACCUACUCUUGGCCAGUUUUUUAAAAAUGUAGAUUUUAUUGUUCAGGUUUAGUGAGGACCACAGAUCAGAAGAUGAUUGCCUUUGAAAAUGUACUUUGUUAUGGUUUUCAAGAAAAGGGGGCAUGCCUCCACAGGAAAGCAUGUGGAAUUACUCUGCCAAUUGGUCAAGAGGCAGAGGGAAUGAGGGGAAAUGGGCAAGAGCCUGUUUUGUGGGUUCUAUGGGAAGAAACCAUCAAGACAGGGUAAGCAGGGGUAGGAUUGGCUGAUUUGGAUAAUUUUAGUGAACUCUCGGGGAGAGGGGCUCUUCCUAGUUGUUUGAUACUUGAUCCUGAAAUGUGAGUAGAGGGGAGUGAUGGCCUUGAGUAUGAGAGCCCUUUAGAGAAGGUGGUGGGGCUCUGGGACUGUUGGUUUCAUUUGGAAGGUAUGCUCACAGGUGAGUUGUUUACUAUCUCUAGGGAUUGGCUAGUCCUGGGAGAAACAGUCUCUCCAGUAUCAUUAAGUACCCAGAUGCCAAAGCAACAUAAUAAAAAGACAUGUUUUGUACACCAGCCCACAAACUCAGAUACUUGUUUGUUGUUUCCAAUUCCUAUAGCUCUGCAAUGUUACAUUAUUAAUUCCAUGUUUAGGAGAGGAAAUGGGAUUUCAGAAGGAUUCAUUUGGUGAAUGAUGUUGGACAACUAGUUAGAGACUGCAUCAUGAGUCUAAAUUGGGUGGUGUGACUUCAAAGUUGGUCUCCAGCUCAUACUGGGUACUGAACCCAGGGCCUUACACAUGCCAGGCAAGCACUUUACCACUGAGCUAUACCAUCAUCCCUGAAACUGGUGCUCUUUCUGUGAGCAAGAUCACCUUGCUAUAGUAGAUAUGAGAAAUGCUGUGGGAAAAAUUUUCAGUCCAUACUAGGCAUUUGACAAUGUUGACCACUACCUCUUUGAAUUUUCCAGUUCAUUCUUUUAUAUAGAUAGAAGGUGUUAUGAGUUAUGCAUUGGGUUGAGUGAUGGAGAUACAAUAGUGAGCAAAAAUGUUGAUG
rnacentral:lncRNA from 1 species